CACACACGCACACACACACACACACACGCACACACACACACACACACUAGCAAUUCUGCAAAGAAUGGGCAAAGAAGGAUAACAAUUAUAUAUAUAAUUCUCUGACUUCUGGGAAAAUCACAAGAUAAGAUAAUAUUGAUAAGAUGCAGAGAAGAUGCAGAAAGCUUGCAGUAUUUUUUUCUUUAGACAUGGCAAGAAGACUAAUAUUGUUCAUUUUCUUUCUACUGCAGAACUGCAGUUAUGGUUUACUCCAGUAGAGGACAGAAUUUUGCAAACAACGCAGCUAAAAGGUUGUUGCGCACCAUUGUUUCCUCGAUGUUACUGCUUAAGACAGCAUCCUUCCUUGCACUUUUUGCACCAAAAGAGUGGAAAACCCUACAGAUUUUGUCUCCUCCCUUCAAGUUCCUUCACUGAUUUCUCAUGACGACAAUGUGUGAUGUCAGGUAGCUGCAAACCUACUUAUAUACUGUGGCUGAAUUCACAGCCUGCUUCUGAGUUUAAUACCACAGAGCUUUACACAAAGCUGCUUAUAGCUCAGUGGAGCAUUUCUGUUAUCUCUGCUGUAGGACAGUGUGAUAACAUGUCAUAACUGAAAUGUUGGUUUAGGUCUUGACUAAGACUGUUCUGUCGUGCUCUGCUGUGGAGACUUCAGCCAGUGAGUUCAACUGCAAUGUAACGAAAAGCCCCAACAGAGGGUGAAUGGAUAAAGAAAUCUGCCUGUUUAAGAUAUGUUUGUCGGACCAUCUAGAAGUUGUCACGGUUGGUCGGCCAGCUAGCAGGAUGGACACGCCCACUCCUGCUAGGGAUCACACCCCUUACCUGCCCCGCCCACAAUGUCCUGAGUAUUGAUUAUGUUCACCUGUUGCUUAAUUGCUUUCUACCCUUACAUAAACCCACAGAUCCCAGGAGACAGGGCUGCACAUUAGUGGACCUUCGACACCACAGAAGCCCUAUUUUUGAAGUGUACACUGUAUUUGUAUAGUUCUCUAAUUCACAUGUAUUGUCUAUAUUUUCCUGCUCUGAAGAAACACUUUGACGCACCAAACGUAUACAGUCCAGCAAAACUAAACUUGCCUCAUCUUGUCAGUAGGUGGCUGAAUAUAAAAAUACUCUUCCACCAAAGUUGAUACCUUUCACACUGAAUUGAUCAUUAAGCCAACAAAUUAUAGAGAAUUUACCGGCUGUUGUUAUUUUUGCAGACUGAUGAUAUACUGCCGUGGACAUUUUUGUAGACUGGUGAUACGGCCAGUGAAAUCAUGUUUAAUAUUUUGUAUUGAGUUCCUAAUUUAAAGGGGAUAUGGCUGCAAAGGUGAAGUUGUAUUUAAAAGGUCAAAGAAUAAAGGCUUCCUAUCA